UGGAAAGAUCUUGCAUGAUCUUGCAAGAUCUUUCCAAGUUCUUGCAGGAUCUUGCCUAAGAUCUUGCAGGAUCUUGCAAGAUCUUGUCAUGAUCAUGGCAAGAUCUUGCAAGAUGUUUGGCAAGAUCUUGCAAGAUCCUGCAAGAUCUUAGGUAAGAUCCUGCAAGAACUUGGAAAGAUCUUGUAAGAUCAUGCAAGAUCUUUCCAUGAUCUUGCAGGAUUUAUGUAAGAUCUUGGCAUGAUCUUG